rnacentral:sRNA from 1 species
AACUUAUAAAAUGGCGGCGUCCACAUGUAUACGUCCUUCCCGGGAUUAGCCAGGCAGCUAGAGGAUGACUUAAUAAGGAGAGUGGAGAAACUGGCCAAUUAAUGAACAUGCCCUGAUCAUUAAUCCACCACUGAAGGAAGUCAGAGCAGAAACUCAAGCAGGGACUUGAAGAAGAAACCAUGGAGGAAUACGGCUUGCUGGCUCACCUCAGACAGACCUGGAGGAGUGGACUUCCUGGGAUGAAGAUGAGCCCACUAGUGCAUCGAAGGAGGGAAUGGGAUUGUGGCAACACAGCAGAACUCUUUGGAGCAACUGGAACCUGACUACUUCGAGGCCAUAACUCCAACUAUACAGAAAACUCAGAAAAUUGUCAUUAAGAAGAGAGAACCAUUGAAUUUUGGUGUCCCAGAUGGUAGCACAGGUUUUUCCAGUAGAUUGGCAGCUGCACAAGAUAGGCCUUUUAUUCAUCAGUCUUCAAAAUUAGGUGACUUAGAUACGUGGCAAGAAAAUACCAGUGCAUGGGAAGAGGAAGAAGACGCAGCCUGGCAAGCAGAAGAAGUCCUGAAGCAGCAGAAAAUUUCAGACGGAGAGAAGAGACAGCAGAACAACAAAGGAAGAAAACGGAGAAGGAAGCGCAACGCCCUAUAAAGAAGGAGCAAAGCAAAGUCUGUGUGAAGCUUUCCUAACAGGCUUUGUGAGUCUGGGCGCACAGCCUACACGCAAGCAUUUGCAUGCACUGGACAGUAUUCUCAGAAUACAAACACUCUGCUAGAUCUCAGUUUGUUAUUGAGCUAUCCAGGACACCAGGAUUCUCCCAUAAUACCUUGAACUAUUAGGAAUCAAGACUCAAAACACAAAAAUAAUGAGACAAUUAUUUUCUUCAAUGUGUUCCAAAUAGAAGACAAUUGUUUGCUGUAGAGAAGUUAUUUCAAGAGGAAUAUACCUGACAAGUACCUCUCAAGCUAGUGUUUCUAGAUGAACAAAGGGCUGUAAAUAAUUUUAUGGUGGAAAAGUACCCUGCUACUUACUAUGCUUUUGUUCAUUGUACAUAAUUAUAAAAUAAUUUUAAUGAUCAUUUGUUUCCAUGACCGCUUGAUGUAAAUUAGACAAACUGUAGGUAGGGCUUUAUACCCUUCUUAAUUUUGUUUUCAGGUACUGUUGACAUACAUUUUCUAUCAUUUGAACUGGCAUUGUUUGGUACAACAUUAAGGGAUAUGAUGAUUUGGGUUUUUAAGAAAAUAACAUUAAAUGCAAUAAUUUUAUUUAUCAAAAAAAAA